rnacentral:rRNA from 1 species
GACGAACGCUGGCGGCGUGCUUAACACAUGCAAGUCGAGCGAUGAAGCUCCUUCGGGAGUGGAUUAGCGGCGGACGGGUGAGUAACACGUGGGUAACCUGCCUCAUAGAGGGGAAUAGCCUUUCGAAAGGAAGAUUAAUACCGCAUAAGAUUGUAGUACCGCAUGGUACAGCAAUUAAAGGAGUAAUCCGCUAUGAGAUGGACCCGCGUCGCAUUAGCUAGUUGGUGAGGUAACGGCUCACCAAGGCGACGAUGCGUAGCCGACCUGAGAGGGUGAUCGGCCACAUUGGGACUGAGACACGGCCCAGACUCCUACGGGAGGCAGCAGUGGGGAAUAUUGCACAAUGGGGGAAACCCUGAUGCAGCAACGCCGCGUGAGUGAUGACGGUCUUCGGAUUGUAAAGCUCUGUCUUUAGGGACGAUAAUGACGGUACCUAAGGAGGAAGCCACGGCUAACUACGUGCCAGCAGCCGCGGUAAUACGUAGGUGGCAAGCGUUGUCCGGAUUUACUGGGCG